rnacentral:lncRNA from 1 species
GGUAUUUAUAACUUUUAUAUAAAACCUGCAUGAACUGUAUUUAUAAUUUUAUGGCAAUAUUUUACUUCUAAUACACAAUAUUUUAUAUCACAUGCCAUACUUUUAUUUUCCUGCAUAAGUCAAAUCAGGCUUCUGCCUCUACUGAAAUUCAUUCCAAUUAAACUGGUUUGGAUUUCUCCCUGGCCAAUAUGGCUGCCAUUUUCAUCGCAUUCUGGAACUUUUAGGGUUUAAUAGGAUCUCUAUGAUGGUGGUGUUGAUUGUAAAUGGUGCUGAUAUGAGCUAAACAUACAGUGAGUAUGCAGAUAAAAACACAACACUUCACGUAGACUUUCUUAACAGGACAUAAUUCCUUAUAUGAAACCCUGUAUUGGAUCCAUAAGACAGAUACACGUAUAAGGCUCUGCUCUCUACUAGUCUUUAUAACUUGUUUCUACAUACUGUAAGCUGUGAUAAGAUCUCUCUACGUCAGUUAUGCGUUGUGUUGUUUGUAAACCUCUAUACAACAAUAAGUUAAGAUUCAACUUCCUGUGCUGAGUAUCUCACUUCCUCAGUCAAUGCACUUCACUGCACUUCAUAUCCUGUUUUCUUACUGGACUGAUUGCAGCUUUCCUGUGGAAAUCCUCCAACAAGGUCUGGCUCCAGCAGAUACUGUACCUCCUCACGACACAGACUCUGUGAGACAUACGUGCUCAGACAGGUCUAAUGGUGCCCGAGAGGAUUUAGUGUUACCGCCAAACUAACAGCACGGGCGGUGAAAUUACAUGUAGAAUUAUUCACAUCAAACAUUGUUUAUCUUACGCUUCAUAAACAACAGCUAUAGACUAACAGUGAAACGCUUACUACUGACAGUCCCAACAAUUCAGAGAGAAAAAUAGAGAAAUAAUAGAAAAAUAGAAAAAUAUAACACGAGGAAUACAUCCACAAUGAGUAAUGAUAACUAGGCUGUAUACACGGGGUACCUGUACUGAGUAACGAUAACUGGGCUGUAUACACGGGGUACCAGUACUGAGUAACGAUAACUAGGCUGUAUACACGGGGUACCAGUACUGAGUAACGAUAACUAGGCUGUAUACACGGGGUACCAGUACUGAGUAAUGAUAACUAGGCUGUAUACACAGGGUACCAGUACUGAGUAAUGAUAACUAGGCUGUAUACACAGGGUACCAGUACUGAGUAAUGAUAACUAGGCUGUAUACACGGGGUACCAGUACUGAGUAAUGAUAACUAGGCUGUAUACACAGGGUACCAGUACUGAGUAAUGAUAACUAGGCUGUAUACACAGGGUACCAGUACUGAGUAAUGAUAACUAGGCUGUAUACACAGGGUACCAGUACUGAGUAACGAUAACUAGGCUGUAUACACAGGGUACCAGUACUGAGUAACGAUAACUAGGCUGUAUACACGGGGUACCAGUACUGAGUAACGAUAACUAGGCUGUAUAGGUCAUUGAGGUAGAUAUGUACAUAUAGGUAGAGAUAAAGUGACUAGGCAACAGGAAAGAUAAAACAGUAACACCGGCACAUGUGAUGAGUCAAAAGAUGUUACGGGUGUCGUAUGAAUUGGACCAAAAUGCAGCGGGAACAUGUAUACUCAUCUUCUUUUUUUUUAUGGUGAAGAAGGAAAACAAACAACGUAUACAAAAACAAACGAACGACACUAAACAGUCCCGUCAGGUGCAACAUACACUAAACAGGAAAUAACUACCCACAAUUCCAAUUACAAAACACCCCCUAUACAUAGGACCUUCAAUCAGAGGCAACGAGGAACAGCUGCCUCCAAUUGAAGGCCAAAUCAAUAAACUAAACAUAGAACUAGAAAGACUAGAAUAUAGAAAUAUACUAACAUAGAACAUAGCCCAAAAACCCCGGAACACUCUAAACCAACACCCCUCUACAUAAACACAUAGCCCAACAAACCCCGAACCACAUAAAACAAACACCCCCUGCCACGUUCUGACCAAACUACAAUAACAAAUAACCCCUUUACUGGUCAGAACGUGACAAAAGAGUUAUUGCAAAUAAAGGUCAAUGCAGAAAGUCCGCGUAGCUAUUGGUUAACUAUUUAACUAGCUACUUAUGGCUUAGUGGUAGAAACUGUUCAGGGUCCUGUUGGUUCCAGACUUUGUGAAUUGGCAUCGCUUGCCGUUCGGUAACAGAAUGAACAGUCUAUGACAUGGGUGGCUGGAGUCUUUGACAAUUUUUAGGGCCUUCCUCUGACACCGCCUGAUAUAGAGGUCCUUGGAUGGCAGGAAGCUUGACCCCAGGGAUGUACUGGGCCGUGCGCACUACCCUUUGUAGCACCUUGCGGUUGGAUGCCGAGCAAUUGCCAUACCAAGUGGUGAUGCAGCCAGUCAAGAUGCUCUCAAUGGUGCAGCUGUAGAACCUUUUGAGGAUCUCAGGGCCCAUGACAAAUAUUUUCAGGCUACUGAGGAGGAAAAGGGGUUGUCAUGCUCUCUUUCACGAAUGUGUUGGUGUGUGUGAACCAUGACAAUUCCUUAGUUAUGUGGACAGCGAGGAACUUGAAGCUCUCGACCCGCUCCACUACAGCCUGCUGGAAGAUUUACAAGCAGAGGCAUAGGAACGGCUCAAUAUGAAUGAAGAGAAGAGGCUAGAAAUACUGAAGGGGGAAAGAGAACGGAUAGAAGAACAACAACAACAAAUCAGGAGGAAGAAGGAAGAAAGACUGUUAUCGAUGGACAGACAGCUGGAGAGGGUACAACAACAAGAGGAGCAGGAUAAAAAACUACAGAUCGAAGAGGGUACGACAACAAGAAGACCAGGAUAAAAACUACAGAUCGAAGAGGGUACGACAACAAGAAGACCAGGAUAAAAACUACAGAUCGAAGAGGGUACGACAACAAGAAGACCAGGAUAAAAAAAACUACAGAUCGAAGAGGAUACGACGACAAGAAGAGCAGGAUAAAAACUACAGAUCGAAGAGGGUACGACAACAAGAAGACCAGGAUAAAAAAACAACAGAUCAAAAUUGCAAAACAUAAAGAAACUGGAGAGGCGAAGCAGGAAUAGAGAGAGGAGGAGAGAAAGAGAGCCAUUGAAGGCCACACAGCUUUAAUCAGAGAAAGAGAGCCAUUGACGGCCACAGCUUUAAUCAGUGGAAGAGAGAAGAUGACAGAGGCAAAAAAGAGGCAGGAGAUGGCAGAAGAGGAAAGAAGGUGCCAACGAUGAUGAUUAUGAACAUGGUCUUUUGCCUGCUAAUGCCUGCAAUGCAGUGAAGAAAACGAUAUGACAACAAUAACGUCUAAUGUAACUGGCCCCUCUAACAGUACAACUGGCCCCAGCUUGGCCCCCCCAGUUGAAAUGGCCUAGAACCGCCACUGCAAAGAGCGCGCCCCUAAUAAUGAGACCAGGAUGCAACGUGAAGAAAAUAUGCUAGGUUCAAGGCUUCCUUCACCACCUGGGCAGAGAGAGAGAGGGAGAAGAGGGAGGGGUUGCUGAAAGAUGAGGCGAAAAGGUGGAAGAUGGAGUAUUUCAAUAAGCAGUGGAGAGAGCAGUCCCUGCUUACAAAAUAGACUCAACAGACGAUUGAAGAGGACAGGGAGAGGAGGAAGGAACAGUACCUAAAAGAACAGGAGGAGAAAUGACUGGAGAUGAAUCUGGAGGCUGAUUACAUUAGAUUAGAAGUUCAAUUGUCACAUGUACAGGGUUGACGGGCAAAUCAAGAAGUUCAGCACCCAGUUCAUCAACCAGUUUCCAUCUGACUACAACCACGGUCAACAGUUGCUGGGGUGGGCCACGGGCCAGAAGGUAAACCAAGGCCUCGCUGGGUUGUACAUGACCAGCCGAGGGAGCCAGAGAGCCAGCAGAGGGGACCAGAGAGCCAGCAGGGGGAGCCAGAGAGCCAGCAGGGGGGGACCAGAGAGCCAGCAGGGGGGACCAGAGAGCCAGCAGGGGGGACCAGAGAGCCAGCAGGGGGGACCAGAGAGCCAGCAGGGGGGACCAGAGAGCCAGCAGGGGGGACCAGAGAGCCAGCAGGGAGGACCAGAGAGCCAGCAGGGAGGACCAGAGAGCCAGCAGGGGGGACCAGAGAGCCAGCAGGGGGGCCAGAGAGCCAGCAGGGGAGGAGCCAGAGAGCCAGCAGGGGAUUUCAGAGGUGGCUGAGAAAUCAGAGGCAACCACCAAACCCAAGAAAAAGCCAGGCAUCUGGAAGAGAAUUAAGACGGGGUAAAUAAUGUUUAAAAAUGUUUUUAUGUUCUACAGUGUUAUUAUAUAUGUCCCCACUUCAAGAAGUGAUAUUAUCAACACGUUUGGUUCCAAAUGUGAGGGUUUAGUGAACAUGCAACACACUUGUAAAAUCAGCAGUAUGCUCUUCAUCAGGUCAAAGGUCAGUGACUCAUUCUAACAUUCUAAGGUCAGUGACUCUCCUCCCCAGACCUGAAAUUCGUAUCUUUAUCCAAGUUGAAUAUCCUUGUUGAAUUCAACUGUGCUCACCACCUCUGCUGUCCUAGAAGAUAUCCCCAAAUGGACAUGGUUUAAACAGAAGUAAAGCAAGAAGUUAAGCAAGUUCUCUCCCCAAUCAGUGGCUCCACAGACCAGAGAUUCUCAUCUUUAUCCAAGUUGAACACAUCGCUGGUCAGUUCCACCACCCUCCUGUGCUAGACCUAGAAGAUAUCUCCCAACUCAACAUGGUGAAACAAUUUGAGAGGCACAGGGAAAGCCAUGGAGCAGCACCCCUUGGAUGAAGAGCCAUUUAGGGGUUAAGUGCCUUGAUCUAGGGCACAACGGCAGGAGAUGGUACCUGGGAGCAAAGUACUGUUCAGCUUUACUAAAAGCAUGAAUUAAAAAAAGU